AACGAACGCUGGCGGCAGGCUUAACACAUGCAAGUCGAACGCAUCCUUCGGGGUGAGUGGCAGACGGGUGAGUAACGCGUGGGAACGUGCCCUUCAGUUCGGGAUAACCCAGGGAAACUUGGGCUAAUACCGGAUACGUGCGAGAGCAGAAAGCUUUAUCGCUGAAGGAUCGGCCCGCGUCUGAUUAGCUAGUUGGUGGGGUAAUGGCCCACCAAGGCGACGAUCAGUAGCUGGUCUGAGAGGAUGAUCAGCCACAUUGGGACUGAGGCACGGCCCAAACUCCUACGGGAGGCAGCAGUGGGGAAUAUUAGACAAUGGGCGCAAGCCUGAUCCAGCCAUGCCGCGUGAGUGAUGAAGGCCUUAGGGUUGUAAAGCUCUUUCGUCCGGGACGAUAAUGACGGUACCGGAAGAAGAAGCCCCGGCUAACUUCGUGCCAGCAGCCGCAGUAA
rnacentral:rRNA from 1 species